GAUGAACGCUGGCGGCGUGCUUAACACAUGCAAGUCGAACGAAGCACUUUAUUUGAUUUCCUUCGGGACUGAUUAUUUUGUGACUGAGUGGCGGACGGGUGAGUAACGCGUGGGUAACCUGCCUUGUCCAGGGGGAUAACCGUUGGAAACGGCUGCUAAUACCGCAUAAGCGCACGGCAUCGCAUGAUGCAGUGUGAAAAACUCCGGUGGUAUAAGAUGGACCCGCGUUGGAUUAGCUGGUUGGUGAGGUAACGGCCCACCAAGGCGACGAUCCAUAGCCGACCUGAGAGGGUGACCGGCCACAUUGGGACGGAGACACGGCCCAAACUCCUACGGGAGGCAGCAGUGGGUAAUAUUGCACAAUGGGCGAAAGCCUGAUGCAGCGACGCCGCGUGAGCGAAGAAAUAUUUCGGUAUGUAAAGCGCUAGCAGCAGGGAAGAUAAUGACGGUACCUGACUAAGAAGCACCGGCUAAAUACGUG
rnacentral:rRNA from 1 species